GUAUUUGAACGAUGGUAAGGAAUUCAAGGACAUACUCUAAACUCAGAAUAAACCAUCAUAUAACACAGGAUAGCGUUAUUUGAUAUACCGAUUUCAAAUGAAAAGUUAAAAAAUAAACCAUAAAACAUUUUUCCUAACAAUUUCAGGAAUAUUGGGAUGUAGGUCACAGAGUUCACGGAAUGUGUAAACUCACACGCGAACAGAUGUCGCUAAACAUCCGGAUGUACAUGUAACUAGAUUGAAAAAAUGUGUCUUCAUAAUUGCAAUGCACUGAAUUUCAAUAAAAAUUAAGCAGAAUACACACAGUGGAUAUAGAUAUAUAUCUUUGGUGAGGUAUUUGUGACAUUUGCGCGAAUAAUUUGUUUACUUCUCGUUAUAUUUCCAGUGACUGGCUGGUUUUAUGUGGAAAAUUCCCAAACCAAGGAACGGAAAUGGAUUAAAUUUCCGGAUAAAGACACGCUCUUUCAAGAUAUUUCGUCCACCAGAACCUAACUCCAUAUACUCACUACUGUCUACACGAUACAGUGAACAUUGCCACAUCCUUAAGUCAUCCGUUGCCAACGCAGUAUAAUGUACUUGUAUGGGGAUCAGUUGACUGAAGUACUUCGUAGCUGACAUUUUCAUUAAAUGCUGAAAGGCUCUACAAUAUAAACUAUAGAAGCACUGGACUCAUGUUCAGCAUGGACUGUGUUCCCUGAGGGAUCAAUGCAUGUGAAUGAACUGAUAUAUUUACACGUGUAGCGACACUUCGCCCAUGCUAACAUUUAAUGGCUGCUUCCCACAAGUAAAGCGCGCCAAUUUUGAAAAAAAUCAUAUUAAGAAUGCAUGUAAAACUUAUACGGUACCAAUUUUGAUGCACCAGAUGCGCAUUUCGACAAAUUAUGUCUCUUCAUACAUUGUUAUGUUCUUUAUAAAUGUUUAUCUGAUGUUUGGAAAUUUAUGAUUCCUUGUUAUGACAGGAAUUCUUUUGUUUUGCCUGUUGUGACAUAGGACCACGUUCUUUCACUUGUAACCCAGAACUUAAAUAAAUGAAA